CGGACGGGUGAGUAACGCGUGAACAAUCUGCCUAUGUCAGGGGAAUAACGCUGAGAAAUCGGCGCUAAUACCGCAUAAGACCACGGAAGGGCAUCCUUCAGAGGUAAAAGAUUUAUCGGACAUAGAUGAGUUCGCGUCCCAUUAGGUAGUUGGUGAGGUAACGGCCCACCAAGCCGACGAUGGGUAGCCGACCUGAGAGGGUGAUCGGCCACAUUGGAACUGAGAGACGGUCCAGACUCCUACGGGAGGCAGCAG
rnacentral:rRNA from 1 species